rnacentral:rRNA from 3 species
UCCGUAGGUGAACCUGCGGAAGGAUCAUUACCGAGUGAGGGCCCUCUGGGUCCAACCUCCCACCCGUGUUUAUUUUACCUUGUUGCUUCGGCGGGCCCGCCUUAACUGGCCGCCGGGGGGCUUACGCCCCCGGGCCCGCGCCCGCCGAAGACACCCUCGAACUCUGUCUGAAGAUUGUAGUCUGAGUGAAAAUAUAAAUUAUUUAAAACUUUCAACAACGGAUCUCUUGGUUCCGGCAUCGAUGAAGAACGCAGCGAAAUGCGAUACGUAAUGUGAAUUGCAAAUUCAGUGAAUCAUCGAGUCUUUGAACGCACAUUGCGCCCCCUGGUAUUCCGGGGGGCAUGCCUGUCCGAGCGUCAUUGCUGCCCUCAAGCACGGCUUGUGUGUUGGGCCCCGUCCUCCGAUCCCGGGGGACGGGCCCGAAAGGCAGCGGCGGCACCGCGUCCGGUCCUCGAGCGUAUGGGGCUUUGUCACCCGCUCUGUAGGCCCGGCCGGCGCUUGCCGAUCAACCCAAAUUUUUAUCCAGGUUGACCUCGGAUCAGGUAGGGAUACCCGCUGAACUUAAGCAUAUCAAUAAGCGGAGGA